ensembl:snRNA U6 U6 spliceosomal RNA
GUUCACUUUGACAGGACAUAUACUAAAAUUAGAAUGAUACAGAGAUUAGCGUGACCCCUGCUCUAGGAUGACAUGCAAAUAUGUUAAGUGUUCCAUGUUUUC